rnacentral:rRNA from 1 species
UGCCAGCAGCCGCGGUAAUACGGAGGGGGCGAGCGUUAUUCGGAAUUACUGGGCGUAAAGGGUGCGUAGGCGGCCCAUCAAGUUAGACGUGAAAGCCCCGGGCUCAACCUGGGAAUUGCGUUUAAUACUGGCGAGCUAGAGUACGAGAGAGGAAAGUGGAAUUCCUAGUGUAGAGGUGAAAUUCGUAGAUAUUAGGAAGAGCACCAGUGGCGAAGGCGGCUUUCUGGACCGAUACUGACGCUGAGACGCGAAAGCGUGGGGAGCAAACAGGAUUAGAUA